rnacentral:rRNA from 1 species
UACGUAGGGUGCGAGCGUUGUCCGGAAUUAUUGGGCGUAAAGAGCUCGUAGGCGGCUUGUUGCGUCGGCUGUGAAAACCCAUGGCUCAACCGUGGGCUUGCAGCCGAUACGGGCAGGCUAGAGUUCGGUAGGGGAGACUGGAAUACCCGGUGGAGCGGUGAAAUGCGUAGAGAUCGGGUGGAACACCAGGGGCGAAGGCGGCAUCCUGGCUCUGUUCUGACGCUGAGGCGCGAGAGCGUGGGGAGCAAACCGG